rnacentral:rRNA from 1 species
GAUGAACGCUAGCGGGAGGCCUAACACAUGCAAGUCGAGCGGUAUCGUUUCUUCGGCUUUCUCAGAGCGGCGUACGGGUGCGUAACACGUGUGCAACCUGCCUAUAUCUCGGGGAUAGCCUUUCGAAAGGAGGAUAAAUACUCCUUAUUAUAUAUAACGCCAACGUUUAAUAUUGAAAGAUCUGGCGGAUAGAGAUGGGCACGCGAAAGAUUAGCUAGUUGGUGAGGUAACGGCUCAACAAGGCGCUGAUCCUUCGGUGGCCUGAGAGUGUGAUCCCCCACACUGGUACUGAGACACGGACCAGACUCCUACGGGAGGCAGCAGUGAGGAGUAUUGGGCAAUGGGUGCAAGCCUGAACCAGCCAUCCCGCGUGAAGGACGACUGCCCUAUGGGUUGUAAACUUCUUUUGUAGAAGGAUAAACCUACCCUCGAGAGGGUAUCUGAAGGUACUAAACGAAUAAGCACCGGCUAACUCCGUG